UACGAAGGGGGGCUAGCGUUGCUCGGAAUCACUGGGCGUAAAGCGCACGUAGGCGGCUUUCUAAGUCAGGGGUGAAAUCCUGGAGCUCAACUCCAGAACUGCCUUUGAUACUGGGGAGCUCGAGUCCGGAAGAGGUGAGUGGAACUGCGAGUGUAGAGGUGAAAUUCGUAGAUAUUCGCAAGAACACCAGUGGCGAAGGCGGCUCACUGGCCCGGUACUGACGCUGAGGUGCGAAGCGUGGAGCAA
rnacentral:rRNA from 1 species